GCCAGCGCCGCUCCGAGCCGCCGGCGACCUCCGGCUCCUCCGCCGGCUCCUCCGCCGGGUGCCUCGCCGGCCCGGGGUCGAGGUUCACCGUCGCGGGGACCGCGGCCGGAGCAGCGGUGGCCGGCGCCUACUGGGACUCGUCGGCUGUGGACAUGGGGGGCAUAGCGAGCGUGGGGUAACGCCUGGCGGAGUCCGGGGGGGCGUGUGGGGGGGCCCGCCCCAGACAACCCUCGGCCUCGUCCCACGGAGACAGCCCGGGGGGGGCACGGCCACGGUCAGCCAGUGGCAGACAGGGUGCCGUGUCGUCCUCCACACUGUCCCCCGUGGAGCGCACGGCCACGUGGGUCCUCACCCUGCAGCAGGGGGACGAGGGGGGGG